ACUCAAAGGAAUUGACGGGGGCCCGCACAAGCGGCGGAGCAUGCGGAUUAAUUCGAUGCAACGCGAAGAACCUUACCUGGGUUUGACAUGGACGGAAAUCCGGCAGAGAUGUCGGGUCCUUCGGGGCCGUCUGCAGGUGGUGCAUGGCUGUCGUCAGCUCGUGUCGUGAGAUGUUGGGUUAAGUCCCGCAACGAGCGCAACCCUUGUCCGAUGUUGCCAGCGGGUUAUGCCGGGGACUCAUCGGAGACUGCCGGGGUCAACUCGGAGGAAGGUGGGGAUGACGUCAAGUCAUCAUGCCCCUUAUGUCCAGGGCUUCACGCAUGCUACAAUGGCCGGUACAAAGGGCUGCGAUACCGUGAGGUGGAGCGAAUCCCAAAAAGCCGGUCUCAGUUCGGAUCGGGGUCUGCAACUCGACCCCGUGAAGUCGGAGUCGCUAGUAAUCGCAGAUCAGCAACGCUGCGGUGAAUACGUUCCCGGGCCUUGCACACACCGCCCGU
rnacentral:rRNA from 1 species